GCGAGAGUGUUGGAAUGGUAGACAAUCACGUUUGAGGUGCGUGUGGUGAAUGCCGUGUGGGUUCGAGUCCCAUCUCUCGCACCA
rnacentral:tRNA from 1 species